GGGGUAAGGUAAAUCUGCAGUAGGAGGGGGGGGUAAGGUAAAUCUGCAGUAGGAGGGUGCCAUUAACUGCUUCAUCUGUGGGAAAGACUGUGGUCUUGGAUGAACUGAGUUAACUGGCCAUGGGCAGCAUUGCAGGAAAUAAAGCUAGAAAGGCUUUCGUUUCGUUACCAAGAGUGCAGAUGAAUGAGCGUGAGAACUGUCUUGUUUAGACUGCCAAGCAUUCAUGACUGUGUUAGUAUUGCCUGUGCUGGUGUAUAUUUCUUCUUUGUGGGCGUUUUAGCAAGUUGCUCACACUGUUCAAUUUCUCACCCUUUUGGAGAAAUCAACAUUAGUCUGGCUUUAAAGCCCAAAACAUACCAUCUAAUGACAAGACUUCCUUAGAACAAAGCUUAGGAAUGAGCUACCUUUGGAUCACGUGGGUCUCAGUGCCAGGGAGUAAGCAGCUCCUGUGUCACUUAUAUCAAAACCUUCCACAGGAAUAAUGUGCUCUGGCUCCUCAUUGUGCGUGACACCCUUCUCAGAGAAGGAAAGGUCUGUUUUUCAGGUUCUUAUUCUGACUCCUGAGAGCCCAAGACGAAGAUGUAAUUGACUGACUUUAGAAGUCAGAAUUCCCAGAAAUUCAACUAACUGCUCUAGAAGGUUAAAAUGUGAAGUUUCUUGUUUGUUUUUUGCUUGUGCUGAAUAUUUUGAAUUUUCAUCUACCUCGUCUUAUUUUUCUUAGUUACUUCUGUCAUUACCACUUGAGCAUCAAGCUUGAUUUUGGUCAUUGUCUAAAAUGGGGUCUCUCCUGUUCAGUGACAGUUUAUUCCCUUGUCUUUCCUCUUGGCCCUCAUUUCACCUAACAUCAUCUCUUAUUGCUCCUGUCAGAAAUAUGUUUUAAAGUCUUGUUUUAUGGGAAAAAGUGGUCCACCAAUGCUGUUUGUCUCUGAGGUCAGUGAGAGAAGGAGUUAAAACACAGUGGUGGAGGAAGGGCAGAGCCUGCCUGCACUGGAGGCAAAAGCUGACAAGGAAGGAGUCAUUAAUUAAAGACAAUUUCAAAGUCAACUGAUUGUGAUCAUUAAUGUCACAAUAGAUCAAAACCUAAUUAUCACAGCCUAGGUAAGAGCCAUCAGUAUUAAUCGGAAAAUCUAAUAGGAAACUAUUAGCAAGAAAUUAGGCCAAAUUGAAUGCAAUGAACUUUUUAUCAUCUUUUUUUGGUAAUGUUCUUGGUGUUGGCAACUGUGACCCUAACAGUUGGUCCAAGCCCAGAUUGCUAAUUUUAAAGAGCCUUUUUUUUUUUUUUUUUUUAAGUAACCCAGGCUGACCCUAGUGCUUACAGCCCUCCAGCUUCAGCCUUGAGCACUGGGAUUAUGAG
ensembl:lncRNA